AUGUAAUUUUAGCUCAUAAU
rnacentral:miRNA from 1 species